GUAAAGAAUAGAAAAAAAAACACACAACAUGUUUUGAAAGUGUUUUUAUAUAUGUUUUCUAGUUCAAUCCUCUCAUAAUAUAAUAAAA
rnacentral:ribozyme from 13 species